CCUACGGGCGGCAGCAGUGGGGGAUAUUGCACAAUGGGGGAACCCCGACGCAGUGACGCCGUGUGGGUGAAGAAGCGCCUCGGCGCGUAAAGCCCUGUCAGCAGGGAAGAAAAUGACGGUACCUGAAGAAGAAGCCCCGGCUAACUACGUGCCAGCAGCCGCGGGAAUACGUAGGGGGCAAGCGUUAUCCGGAUUUACUGGGUGUAAAGGGGGCGCAGACGGCGAUGCAAGCCAGGAGUGAAAGCCCGGGGCCCAACCCCGGGACUGCUCUUGGAACUGCGUGGCUGGAGUGCAGGAGGGGCAGGCGGAAUGCCGGGUGUAGCGGUGAAAUGCGUAGAUAUCAGGAGGAACACCGGUGGCGAAGGCGGCCUGCUGGACUGCAACUGACGUUGAGGCCCGAAAGCGUGGGGAGCAAACAGGAUUAGAUACCCGUGUAGUC
rnacentral:rRNA from 1 species